UUGUGAUUGUUUUUACUUCAAUUUUUAGCAACUAGUAGAGGAAUUCCAGCGACGUUGUCACUGGAAUUUAUAGAGCAACGCCUCCUUGCCAAUGAUUGGCUGCAGCUCAGCGCGCUAUUUAGAUUACCAAGGCCUUUCUCAAACACGACAGAAAGAAUCAUCACAAGGGCUGACUCGCCGUGAGGAUAAUAGAGUUGGGGUAGAAUAACUAUUUUCGCUCAUGCUAAUUGUCAGUGAACCUGAAUUUAGCUACAGCUGUGUCGGUCGCUUGGAAAAUACAUGUCGGAAUCAUUUUAUAUAUCUCUGCUAACUUUUUAUCUGGAGUUUUAAAAUUUCAUGUCUUUAAAAGACGGAUUUCAAGUUAGAUAGAAUAGGCCUACUUUUUUAUUUGACGUACUUAGGAGGAGUUUUGGUGGCAGUCGCUUGAGAACUGGUUGUGCCCGGUGUUAGUAGAGGUGGGAUAAUGGCAGUGGGAGAUUCCAUGCCAUGGAUUUCAAUCGUUAUUUUAGGAAUAACAUUCAGCUGUUCCUGCUCCACAGUAGCGGAAUAUUAUCCUGGUCUUCCGAUAGAAAUUAUAUUCCGCUCAGUAAAGUUGGAUCCAUUCAUGGACCUAUUUAAGAUGAUAAAAAAGUAAAAGUGAGCCCCCCAGGCUCCUCUCUAGCUCGAAGAAGAAUGAACAUUGUUAUGCAAUCAACACAUGCAAUGCAUUUUAAGUGCAAUGUUUGUUAUGCUUGAAAGAAAACACUUAAGAAGAUAAUGUAAAUUGAGUUAGUUUUGCCAAACAGGUAGUACAUGGAUCAGUGAAUGGAAUGGAUUGACAACUGGUUUACAUGAAGAUUUAACUGUUGAUCUGUCCCGACCGCAUUGUCCGGUACAUUGUUUUUAAUGCCAAUCUUUCAAGUUGAUAUAAGAAGCUUACUUAAUUGUUUCAAUUUGCUCACAAAAUACUUAAGAGAGGAAUGUCUUCAGAUGUUUUUGUUUCCUUGUAUAUACAACAAUAUUAUAUUUUAAUUCUGAAUGUGAUACAAUUUCUGAGAUAUAUCUAUAUUAAACCAUGGACGUAAUAAUA